rnacentral:lncRNA from 1 species
UGGUCUCUAACAACUUUUAUUAUUUGAUCAAGAGUAAAAGCUCCACCUGAGCCAUUAGAUUUUACAAUAUGAAUACGAUUCCAAGUGAUUUUAAAAAUGCAUAUUAUGCAUGUAAUAGACCGUCACAGAUCUGAAUUGAAUCUUAGUGUGUUACGUUACCAUACAGAUAGGAGUAUUUGUGUUAAAGUUACUGCACUUCUGAGAACUUAAAAAUCAGCUGCACUGUUUACUUUGGUAUUUUGUUUCUUUAAAUAACCAAAUGCUCAGUCCAUGGUUUUGAUGAAUGCCCUGCAAAAGGUUGGUGUAAUAAGCUAUGGUGCUUAGGAUUUAUCAGAGAGCAAACUCAGAAUCCACCUAAGAUCACUGCUUCUCUCUGUGAUCUUUAAAACGCUCCCAUGUACUUUUGCAAACCUGUGAAUUAUACUUUUGUUUUAGGUUGGAAACCAGCAGUUCCUUUCAAUUCCUCAGAUGCUGAGGUAGAAAAGAAGGGCCUUGGUGUGUAUUUCAGACCACAGAUCCCUAUGUGAGCAUCCCCAGCCCAUCCUGAGUAGGUCUGCUACACCGCACGGGGAUGAGCUGGUUAUUUCCAUGCUUAGAACAACCUCUCCGGUGAGCUGAUGGAGGCAUGAAAACCUUCACCUUGUGCUUUGAGAGAGGUGGUAUCAAGCUGCCCGUGCUCCCAGGGCAAGCAAAGAGGACUUAAACCCCCCUUGGAAAGAAAUGGAGAAGUGGAAAAGCCCACAAAGCCACGCGCAGAAAGACCAUGUUGGCGAGCGCCGAUGCGGACAUGAGUUGACUUAGUGAGAACCAAAUGAGCCCCUUCCUUGCCCUGUGCCCUUGGCUGAGCCUUGCUCCAGGGGCCCCGCAGAGGCUGAGCCGCAGAGGGGGGCGCUCAGAGGGGUGGCCGGGUCCCCCCCCUGCAGCGGCGAUGCCGCUUCUCAAGGCGGAACCAGCGAAACCAGUUAUCUGGCAGCAAUUUGCAUAUUUAUGGUGCCUCCUGCCGCUCUUCGUGAUUGCUUUACAGGCAGGAAAGGUAACAGAGAAAUACAUAACCCCCUCUAAAAUGGCAAAGAGGCUCCUACGUGCGCAGGGGCUCUGAUAGAAGAGCAAGCCCCUGGCAAGAAAUCUGUUUACCAAACGAUUUUUUGGUCUUAAGAAUCGAAGGCAGUUGUGGUUUUGGUUUUAUUAAGUUCUGAGGAUGCUCGGUGUGUGCAAACUGCUAGAGACAAGUGCUGAUCGUUGCAGGGAAAAAUAAUUAGCCUCGUCAUAUUCGCCGAGUGUCUACGUCGAAGGAAGAGGCAAUCCUCGGAGAAUGGGAGAAGCAUUCAAUAGACACUUUAAAAGUCUAGUGUCAUGGUACAUAUAUUUUUUAGUCCCACUCAUAAGCAGUGUACAAAUGUGCAGCGCGGCUUUGAAUAUAAAAGCUAAUUAGGUCUCAAUAGAGAAUAGUUUCCUUUUUAUUGGCUCCGAGUACAACGGCUGUCUAAGAUCCACCUCGGCUCCCAAACGCUUUUGGCCUUCCUCGUAGGAUCUGCUGUGUCUGUGUCCCCACACAUCCUUAUGUGUUCAGAUACCUUCAGAUCUGGGUAGCAUGAACCGAGGUGCCAGGAGGUCCAUAGUUCACCUCACCCUGCACCAAGGAGCCCUUUGGAGCUGUUCCAGAGCUGGGAUCACAGAGGUCCACAUCACUCCAGCCACAUCUAGACUAAACUCCCUGCUGCAGUGGGGAACAGCACUUAAAUGAUAGGGCCAGUAUUUACCCUGCAUUUACCUAUAGCCCCUGUCACUGUAAAGUCUGAGGGUGGUGUAUGUCAGCACAGCGGUCUGUGGAUCUCUCCCUCCAUGUGUUUACACCUAUUUCUCUCUCUGUCAGCACUCAGAUGCUGUGAAACUUAAUACGAUGGGGCAAAUGGAAGUCUGACUCGUGAAUACAUUCAUUUCAGUAUGGUAAUAUCAAACAUUGCACGUAUUUCUGAUUUCUGUAUUUAAUUUCCCUUGCUUUUAUUUUUUAGAUGCCGGGGAAUAGUUGCUCGCUGAACAAUAGCGUUAGUACAAUAACUCCCCCCAACCCCUGCAUUCAUACUUAAUGCACAUCAGCUUUCUAUGUAACACCAUACAAUAUACUUGCAUGUUAUUUUAAUUGAGUGAAAUCUUAUUCACACUGGUGGUACAAAGCAUUCUUUUCACUGCAGUCAGAAUUCGUACUCUACCAUAAAAAUUAUAUGUGCUGACAAUAACAAACGGUGGCAAAACUAUCCGAGCUGCUCCAAAAAGUGGGCUCUUAUCACAGGUUAUUCACCACCGCUCCUGCUCCCCCUUGGUACUGUGUCUUUCCAUGCAGCUUUGGGCUACAUAAUCAUAUAUUCUUCCAACUACAGAGAGUUGCAUUAAAAUAUUACUGUGAGCAGUCUAACAAUUAAGCUGAACUUUUGCAUAGAAUAAAUAUGGCCAAGAAGAAAACCCACAGUAAAGCUGUAGUUUUUAAAUGCAGGGGAAGAUCUCUGCUAUCUCCACAGUUAAUUCCUUUUCAUCUUAAAUCCUCACACAAACUGUGUCGUGUUCUGCAAAGCACGUGCAUUUCUUCAUUGCUAAAGGUAAAAGCUAAACCUAAAUGUCACCUGAAACAGCAAUGUAAAAUGAAUAUAAAGAAUGACCGCUGUGUAUGUUAAAUUUCAGUUUGAUGCCUUCGAAGUGACUAAAAGUCAAGCUCUAAAAAACCAACAUAAUAGAUGUUAUUUACAAACCUAACAGCACGCUUGAGUACAUGCUUACUUUAAGCAUGGAAGUACAGCUGAUGUGCCCAAAAAUAAAUAUGUGCUUAGGAGUUGUGCAGUACCAAAGGCUGAGAAGAUUCCUCUACUAUGGGAUAUAUGGAGCAGGGUUAGAGGAGGAAAAUAUCCUUUAUUAUUGCCCUGCCCUUCUCUGCUCUCCCUCACACCAAGCGUGCUGGGAAGAUGGAGCUGUGUUUGGCAGCAUCCAAGAAAACAACUAAAUCUUUCCUCAUCCUUGUAGCAAAACUAAUUUCUCUAUGGAAAUUGGUUCUUUUUUGAUUGCUGAUAUUGGGUUUCUCAGAUUAGUGAGUUAUUUUUGUUAUUCCGCUUCCUACAAAUUGAUUGGAUUUAUUGAGUUGGAUUUAUUUUUCAAGACAAAAUGUUUGCAAUUCCUCCUUUUCCCACCUGACGCAUCCAGAGUGGGGCUUCCCAGAUUUCCUCAUAGGGAGUUUGAGCCCCUUGGAUCUAAUCUCACGCAGAAGUGUGAAAAGCUUCUCCUUAUGAUCCCGAGAAGAUCUUGUUCACGAACAGCUGCUGUGCUAAAAGAUCAGUAGUGAGCCCACGUAUUUCAUGUGGUCAGGAUCAGACCAAGCCUGUCCAGCUCUCCUGCCCUCCUUCACUGAGGAGGAGGUACUUUGGAGAUGAAGUGUGGCUGUGUGCUGGUGUUGGACGUGCUGCUAGUUUAAACCUUGGGUUACACACUCUUUGUUCCUGGUUUGCCCCUGCAGGGCUGGGAGCCUGGAUUAGCCUUUCCUGUCCGUGCAGCUUGCUCAUCGCUUCCAAACUCAGCUGUCUCUGUGCUGUGGGUGCUGUCUCCCCCAGAUACUCCUGACUGGGCUGUAAUUCUUUACCUUGUGUUAGCUGGGCAUCUCCUCAAACUUAGCAGUUAGUCAGAAUAUGAAUCAAAAAAGAUGUGUCAGUGACCUGUGUUUCUACCGCUCACAGGCUUGAAGAUGGAACCUGCUUUGUUAAAUGACUCGGGAUCUUCACAACUCUCUUGUGUUUCACAGAAUCCCAGACUGGUUUGGGUUGGAAGGGACCUUAAAGCUCAUCCAGUUCCAACCCCCUGCCACGGGCAGGGACAUCUCACACUAGAGCAGGUUGCUCCAAGCC